AGACGUCUACAUUAGACUACCCGGUAGUCCCAGCCGUAAACUAUGCGCGUUAGGUGUAUCGGUGACCACGAGUUACCGAGGUGCCGAAAGGGAACCGUGAAACGUGCCGCCGUGGGAAGUACGGUCGCAAGGCUAGAAACUUAAAGGAAUUGGCGGGGAGCACCACAACGGGUGGAGCCUGCGGUUUAAUUGGACUCAACGCCGGGAAGCUCACCGGAUAAGACAGCGGAAUGAUUGCCGGGCUGAAGACUCUGCAUGACUAGCUG
rnacentral:rRNA from 1 species